rnacentral:tRNA from 1 species
GGGGCUAUAGCUCAGUUGGUAGAGUAUUUACAUGGCAUGUAAAUGGUCAGCGGUUCAAGUCCGCUUAGCUCCA